rnacentral:lncRNA from 1 species
CUCCUUUAUAUAAGUAUAUUGAUAUUGAUUGAUUUUCUUUUCUUCUAGUAGAAUAGAAAAAACUCUGAAUUUCCGAAUUGCCAAAUAUUGCAAAAGUUAUGUCAGAGCUGUCUCCAUUUUUUCUUAAAUAUAUUCACGAAUUAUUUGAGGUAUGAGUAAUUAAAAGUUUUUUUUUGGUAUCUUUCUUUUUUCAAGGGACUCUCUGAUUAUUUUCAUGCCUGUUUGAUUUUUUAUAUCAACGUGAAUUUAUGUAAAUUAAAUGAAAAAGAACCAUAAACUAAAUACUUAACUAAACAACUGAAGAACAAAAAACAAAAACUACCAUUUCACGAGACUUCCCCUCUCCCUCUCUAAACCCUAGCCUCCAUUAAAGAUUUUCGAGGGGGCUUCCAUCGGCUUUCACCGGUGGAAAGCCCCAAUUCCUUUUUUCUAUUUUCCUGUUUUGCAAUCGUAUUUUCCAUUCAAUAAGUUCCCAAUUUAUUUGGGUUUUGUUAGUCUCUCCUUCUUGUGAGAGUUGAGUUGUUUUGUUUUGGUGUGUUUUGGUGUUCUUCAUGACCGAGGUCAUAGAUCGGCAUGAUUUUUAUGGGUUUGAUUCAGGCUUGAAGGUUAUUAUGGAAUCGCAUUUAUGGUCGAUUGUUCAGAACAGUCAGGUGAAAACCAAUCAGAUGGAAACAAUGAAACAAGUGUAUAUAUUCAUCAUCUUCAAAUCGCUCAGUUGCCCCUCCAAGAAGGAAGGAUUCAACAGCGAUAUUCUUCAGCGUCUGUCCAAUUUCGAUUAUAUUUGUAGAUGCCGUAUGGCUUUUGAUUAAUGAAUUGAUUCCUUUUUAUCAAAA